AUUGAACGCUGGCGGCAUGCCUUACACAUGCAAGUCGAACGGCAGCGCGGGAGCAAUCCUGGCGGCGAGUGGCGAACGGGUGAGUAAUAUAUCGGAACGUGCCCAAGAGUGGGGGAUAGCCCGGCGAAAGCCGGAUUAAUACCGCAUACGAUCUAUGGAUGAAAGUGGGGGACCGCAAGGCCUCACGCCCAUGGAGCGGCCGAUGACUGAUUAGCUAGUGGGUGGGGUACAGGCCUACCAAGGCGACGAUCAGUAGCUGGUCUGAGAGGACGACCAGCCGCACCGGGACUGAGACACGGCACAGCCUCCGCCGGUAGGCAGCAGUGGGGAAUUUUGGACAAUGGGGGCAACCCUGAUGCAGCAAUGCCGCGUGAGUGAAGAAGGCCUUCGGGUUGUAAAGCUCUUUUGUCCGGGAAGAAAUCCCUUGGGUGAAUAACUCGGGGGGAUGACGGUACUGGAAGAAUAAGCACCGGCUAACUACGUGCCAGCCGCCGCAGUAACAC
rnacentral:rRNA from 1 species